UGCACUAGACAGCUGCUUCGUCCAUAAUAACACACCAACAUUUAUUAUUUUUUUGAUUCUUUUUAUAAAUCAGCAUGUAGAAAGUAAGCUGUUAAAAACUAAAAUUGAAAUAUCCGAGUAAAUCACAGUUAUUUUAAAAUGUACAGCACUCGAGUACUUAUCUUGAAUCAAUAUCCAUCUCUGAUAACUGUUAACAUCAUUAUUUCUGAUGUGACGUAAAACCUUUAUUUUGUUGCCAUUGUUUGACAGCACCGCACAUACAUAUUAACGUACAACACAGUUUGUUUACUCAUUUGUUGUGCUUUUAUUAUAUUGUAAAAUCACAUUUUUUUUAACCUCAAGUUUUCCUAAAGCUUGACAGGAUCACAUACAUUUAUAUGAUGUAUAUGCUUUGGGCACAAGUAGAAAUAACAUUUUAUUUAAACACUGUCAUCCACUUUCUGUCUCUCAGAUUUAUUGCAAUUUCAAAUUUAGGUUCAGAUAAUUGUAGGAUGAAAGGCAGUGUUUCCCUGAAGAAGCCAACUAAACCGUGGAUAAACCCGUUUCAGGCCUACUAUUAACAUUAAAAUGGCAGCCAGUGCAUCUACAAUCAUAACUCUGAGGCCAUAUAUGUGAAGUGUAGACAAAGGAUAAGGAAGAAAGAAAUUCAGACAAAUGUGUACAGACUCUGUUUAUAAACCCUUCAAACACAAGGAGGCUGUUUGUGGCAGUUUGUUCUCACACGUUCAGGUUUUCUCCCCCAUUUCUGUCACUCUGACCCCGCCACCUCCUUCUUCUCCUUCUCUUCCUCGACCCGCCCUAUAAACACAAGACGAGCUGCGAUUGGUCAAAGAUUCCGCUCCAGUGUGCGAUGGUCGAGAAGGGGGCGCGAAGUUUGAGCCAAUUAGGAGUUGUGAAACCAGAGCGACAGAACGAAACACCAGUGAGCUUAGGGGUACCUCACUGUGGGCGGGAAUACACGCAGGAGUAUGGGAUGGGAGAGUUGACGAAGAACAGAAAUGGCAGUUAGAGUGUGAUAUUUGAUUAACCCGACAGGGAAGAACUUCAGCACAGUUCUAACACACAUUCCCCCAGUGUGACCGUAAACGGGGCCUGCUUUUAGGCGUUUACCCCACAAUUCAUGCUGGCACUAAAAUCAGUACCAUGGACAGAGGCAGCUGCGGACGCACAGACCCGUUACGCAGCUUUUUUCCUUCCUGUCGACGCCGACGCGCUGAUUAAUAAACCUAUAUCAGAAGCUGUGGUUCUGUGCAGAGCGCUGAUUCCCUCCCCCACCGGACACGGCUGCUGCUCUUCAUUUCACGGCUCAGCGCCGGGACUCUCCAAGUCUGCUGCCUGCGCCCGGUUCUGAGUCCCAGCUGGUCCGGUUCCUAAAGGCCCGCUCGGCCCAGGCUGUGGGUUUUCCUAAAAGUAACCCCAACUAGUUAAUAGCCCUACUUCAUCAAACCGUUUAAAACCGUGAGAGUUUUUAUACAUAUGUUUCAGUAAGAAUUUUGCUUUUAUUCAUUAAAUGUAAAUGUAACAUUUUAUUUCAUUUUGCUUGGUCAUAAACACUGUGGAAUAACAUCCGGUUGAAAUGUGGCUGAAGUAACAUAAUUAUGAUGAUUUUUGAUCCUGUGUAAAUUUAAAGGUGCAGUUCAUGAGUGUCACCGUCUGUGGUUCUGCUGUUAGUGUUGGAUGAGGAGCUUGUUUAAGGCCUGUGUGAUGUGUUCUGUUGAGGAGGCUGACAUAGCUGUUCAGCCGAGAUCAAGCAGACUUGAUAUCGACCAGUGCUUGUUAGCAACAGAAAAAGCUGAAUGUGUGUGGUUCCGCAAGCAGCCGCAGGGUCCACAGUUAAGUGUGUCCCGGCUUCAGCACAGGCUCCAUCACUGGAGUGCUGCUCUGACAUUUUUAUCCCGAACGGGCGGAUGGUGAACGCGCGGUGCAGCGGAGCCGAGGCCAAGAAUGUAUCCGUCACUGUUGAUGAAAAGAUACUCUGACAUUUGUAAGGAUUGUGUCUUUGGGCUUAUGAGACGCUGACAUAAAUGUCAGCCAAGCGCAGUCAGAGAGCUGGCAGCGGAGAUCAGAGCCGAGAACACGCCGAAGUCCCCAACUUCAAAACACAGCAUCAGCCCCAUUACAGCAACAGCUGCUCUGUGGUUCAGCGCAGCACCUACUGCUUCCUGCACCAGGCUCGGAGGUGUUCGACCCAGAAUAUGAGCCACGUGUGUGCAGAUUCUGGACUACAGCAGAUGAAUUACCAGGCGGUUGCUCAUGGGCUCAGGUCACUCUGCCGAGGCCCAGCAAGUAGCAUUAGGACGUCAACAUGUCGCCUGCAGUUCCAGAAGAAAAGUCUAUUCUCCAAAGAGACUCACAACUACUACAAGUGACACACAACUACCGUAACGACAACAAAACACAAUGGUGCAACUGCUGCUCUGAUCCUGUGGAUCCUCACUCUCUGGUUCUAAGUUUGAGGAUUUAAUACGAAUAAAUUAUUAAUCGGUGGAGUUUAAUCGUCUCAGUUUGAUUGUUGUAAACUCCCAUCAGCAUUUGCCAAACCACUUCAGAUU